GUGCAAAGUUUGUGAUUUAUCCGGUUGUAAAUUUAUUACUUGCGAAAAUAUGAUUUUCGCGUGUAACGUUUCCGACAGCGAUAAUAGUGAUGAAGAGAGACGUAUAGCAAACCUUGCAAACCAGCGUCGAUUACUUCGUUGUUCUUUUGAACCGUUGGACCUCACAGACCAAGCGUUUGUGAUCACAAGUUGACAGUUCGUUUCGUAAAUGCCAAGUUUAGCGGGGCGAACCAUGAUUCACAUAUAUGGAAUGUGUGUGGAAUAGACACUUUCUUUGCAGAAAAGAACCAAAACGGAGAAGCUGGCUAUUUUGUUUUAGCAGAUGCAGCAUAUCCGUCUAAGCCAUGGUUGAUUACGCCAAAACGUAAUCCUGCUCCAGGGUCGCCAGAUGCUGAUUACAACACCAAACAUUCGCAGGGCAGAGAAAUUGUGGAACGCACUAUUGGCAUGAUAAAGAACAGAUUCAGGUGCAUAUUAGGAGCACGCCAGUUGCAUUACACGCCAGAAAAAGCAACACAAAUAACUAAUGUGUGUUGUAUUUUACACAACAUGUGCAUUAGUUAUGACUCAGUUGAUGGUGAAUAUUUAGAAUCUGAAUUGUGAAAAACUAGGUUUUUGCGACGCCACACUGGCCCUUAACUGCAGGAGGUAUACUUUCUUACCUAUAAACAUAAAAUUAAAGCAUUUGAGCUCGUGUAUGAAAGAUUAGAUAGUUUAGAAAAUAUUUGAAUUCGUCGAGUUCGAGGUAAUGCUAUACAUAAAAUAUGAAUUUUAUGUACAUACACAAUUAUUUCAGUUCGGUUUUUAUUUUCACAGUUCGUAGUUCACAUAGCUAAUACA